rnacentral:rRNA from 1 species
CUUGGUCAUUUAGAGGAAGUAAAAGUCGUAACAAGGUCUCCGUAGGUGAACCUGCGGAAGGAUCAUUAUUGAAUUCAAAUCAUCUGUGGCUUCGGUCCGGAUGUGCCAACAGGUAAAACUGUUGGUAAUUCUAUCCAUAACACCUGUGAACUGUUGGAUGCUUGCAUCCACUUUUAAACUAAACAUUAUUGUAACAAAUGUAGUCUUAUUAUAACAUAAUAAAACUUUUAACAACGGAUCUCUUGGCUCUCGCAUCGAUGAAGAACGCAGCGAAAUGCGAUAAGUAAUGUGAAUUGCAGAAUUCAGUGAAUCAUCGAAUCUUUGAACGCACCUUGCGCUCCUUGGUAUUCCGAGGAGCAUGCCUGUUUGAGUGUCAUGAAACUCUCAAACCCAAGUUUUGGAUUUCGAUCCAUGCUUGAGUUUGGAUUUGGAUGUUUGCCGGUGAUGAACCGACUCAUCUUAAAAGUAUUAGCUAGAUCUGUCUCUAUGACUGGUUUGACUUGGCAUAAUAAGUAUUUUGCUGAGGACAUCUUCGGAUGGCCAGGACCUAGACUAUUGUCUGCUAACUAAACCAUCACUUUAAGUGCAUCUUCGGAUGUUACUCAUUGUGUAACUUUGACAUCUGGCCUCAAAUCAGGUAGGACUACCCGCUGAACUUAAGCAUAUCAAUAAGCGGAGGA